rnacentral:rRNA from 1 species
UACGGGGGGGGCAAGCGUUGUUCGGAAUUACUGGGCGUAAAGGGCUCGUAGGCGGCCAACUAAGUCCGACGUGAAAUCCCCAGGCUUAACCUGGGAACUGCGUCGGAUACUGGAUGGCUUGAAUUCGGGAGAGGGAUGCAGAAUUCCAGGUGUAGCGGUGAAAUGCGUAGAUAUCUGGAGGAACACCGGUGGCGAAGGCGGCAUCCUGGACCAUUACUGACACUGAAAAGCGAAAGCCAGGGGAGCAAACGGG